GACAAGGCGUCGUGGGCGUGGCCAAGCCCCCCGGCGGAAGCCUCCGGCCGGCGCGCGCUGUGAUUGGCUGCGGCGCGGUGACGCACGCACGCACGCUGACGCACGCCGGACGCAGGGUGACGUUGCGGCGGCGCCUGAGGGAGCGCGGCGGCGGCUCCCGGCAUCUCCGAGGCUUCCCCCUCUGCCCCCCUUCCUUCACCCCACACAGCCCCCAGGCCCAGGAGUGGGGGGGGUCCCACCCCCUUUUCUCCCCCCUCCCCUCUCCCCUCCCCUCCCACCCCUCCAAUGCCCACCCCAGCCCGGGGUCCCCCCCUCUUCCUCAGCCCCCCUCCCCCCCGCGCCGCAGCGCCACCAUGUGAGGGGGGGGGAGGGUCACGGCCGGUCCCCGUGUCUCUCCCCCUUUCCUCCCCCCCUCCCCCCUCCUCUUCCCUCCCCCCCAAAACCCUUCCCAAAGCCCCCCCCCCGACCCCCCAGCCAUGAUGUUCCGGGACCAGGUUGGGAUCGUGGCCGGCUGGUUCCGGGGCUGGAGCGAGUGCGAGCAGACGGUGGCGCUGCUGGCGCUGCUCAAGCGGGUGACGCGCACCCAGGCGCGCUUCCUGCAGCUCUGCCUCGAGCACUCGCUGGCUGACUGCGCCGACAUCCACCUGCUGGAGGCUGAGGCCAACAGUGCCGCUGCCAUCAGCCAGUGGCUGCAGGAG